rnacentral:tRNA from 1 species
GCCCAUCUAGCCCACUUGGUGGAGCACAAGGCUUCUAACCUUGUGGUUGUGUGGGUUCAAGCCCCACAAUUUGCA